rnacentral:lncRNA from 1 species
CAUGUUGGCAACCUCGGCCUCCGCCCUCCUCACCAUCUCCUCCAGGUCGGCCUUCUGUUCCGCCGAGGUCUGUCUCUCUCUCUCAAGCGCCUCUCGGAGACCGGCCACCUCGAGGGCCAUUUCCUUAAGGCGGGCAGCCUCGGCCUGCCGACCUUCCACCGUCUUGUUUGUCGUCUCGAUGUUGGCGAGAAGUUGGUGCCCGAGCUACCAGGACGAUCGGAGGGUCAGAAUGGGGGCUGAGAAGUUAAUUAAAUGAAGAAGCGAAAGGAAGAAAGGAAGACGAAUCUGCUUACCUCGAGGAAGGCCCCCAGUGAGUCCCAGACUCGUUGUGCAGGAUCGACGCAGACGAUCCUCUGGACGACUUCGGGCAGUGAGCACCCAUCUACCAGCCUUUUUAUUAGGUCCCUGUCACUAAAGGGAUCAUCUCCCUGCUCCUCUUCAGAGCCGCGGGAUUCUUCAGUGGCAGCCCGGCGACUGCCGACCCUACGGGCCAAGGUCUUCUUCCUCUUCCUCCUCUCACCCC